UACAGAGGUCUCAAGCGUUGUUCGGAUUCAUUGGGCGUUAAGGGUGCGUAGGCGGCGCGGUAAGUCGGGUGUGAAAUCUCGGAGCUUAACUCCGAAACUGCAUUCGAUACUGCCGUGCUUGAGGACUGGAGAGGAGACUGGAAUUUACGGUGUAGCGGUGAAAUGCGUAGAUAUCGUAAGGAAGACCAGUGGCGAAGGCGGGUCUCUGGACAGUUCCUGACGCUGAGGCACGAAGGCCAGGGGAGCAAACGGG
rnacentral:rRNA from 1 species